rnacentral:rRNA from 1 species
AUGCCAACUUUCGCCCUCACGGCGCUGCGCUUCCCCGCUAAGCUUCUCAAGGAAAUUGACAAGUGUAGACGACGUUUCCUCCGGGGCCAUGAUCAGGAGCUCUCUGGCGGCAGCUGCAAAGUCAGCUGGGGACGGGUCUGCUCACCGAUCGAGCAUGGAGGGCUCGGCAUCCUCGACCUGACGAAAUUCAACCGCGCCCUUCGGCUUCGUUGGCUCUGGCACGCCUGGAAAAGCCCGGAGCGGCCGUGGGCGAGGACGGAACCACCCUGCGACGCCCCCGACCACGCCCUCUUCAGCGCGGCCACCAAGGUAGAGGUUGGCAACGGUCAGAAGGCCAGUUUCUGGCAUUCGGCAUGGAUCGACGCGACACCGUUGAAGGCUCUCCACCCCACCCUCUACAAGCUCUCCAGACGGAAGAACAGGUCAGUUGCGCAAGCACUUAUCGAAGAUCGCUGGAUCACCGACCUGGCACACAGUGACGCCAGCUCAAUCGCCCCGGAGGUGCUCAACCUGCACAGGCGGAUUCACCCGCAUCUCCUGGCCCUCCAGGAGGCCAGCCAGGACCACAUCACAUGGAAAAUCGCUGCCUCCAGGCAGUACUCCGUGCGAUCGGCGUACGGUGCUCAGUUCCAGGGCUGCGUGAAAUCCCUUUUCCGCACGGUGAUCUGGGACACUUGGGCGCCUUCAAAGCUAAAUUUUUUUGCCUGGCUACUCCACCAAGACUGCCUCUAG